rnacentral:rRNA from 1 species
GUCGAGAAUCUUUCACAAUGGGGGCAACCCUGAUGGAGCGACGCCGCGUGGAGGAUAAGGUCUUCGGAUUGUAAACUCCUGUCAUGCGUGAACAAGGUUGCUUGGUUAAUACCUGGGCAAAUUGAUGGUAACGCAAGAGGAAGAGACGGCUAACUCUGUGCCAGCAGCCGCGGUAAUACAGAGGUCUCAAGCGUUGUUCGGAAUCACUGGGCGUAAAGGGUGCGUAGGUGGCGUGGUAAGUCAGAUGUGAAAGCCCGGGGCUCAACCUCGGAACUGCAUCCGAUACUGCCAUGCUAGAGUACUGGAGAGGUGACUAGAAUUCUCGGUGUAGCAGUGAAAUGCGUAGAUAUCGAGAGGAAUACCAAAGGCGUAGGCAGGUCACUGGACAGUUACUGACACUGAGGCACGAAGGCCAGGGGAGCGAACGGGAUUAGAAACCCGGUGUAGUCC